UGUAGUCCCAGCUACUCGAGAGGCUGAGGCAGGAGAAUGGCGUGAACCCGGUAGGCAGAGCUUGCAGUGAGCCGAGAUAGCGCCACUGCACUCCAGCCUGGGCGACAGAGGGAGACUCCAUCUCAAAAAAAAAAAAAAGGUUACAAAGAAACAGGUGAAAUUAGUUUUAUUUCACCUAAAAUGUUAGCAUUAUCCAAAAUAUCACUUCAACAUCUUAUCAAAAUAAAAAUUAUUAAUGAGAUAGCUUACAGUCUUUCUUUUCUUUGAGACAGGGUCUUGCUUUGUGGUCCAGGCUGGAAUGCAGUGGCACCAGCAUAGCUCAUUGCAGUUUCAGACUCCUGGGCUUGAGAUCCUCCUGCCUCAGUCUUCCUAGUAUUCGGACUACAGGCACACACCACCAUGCCACGCUAGUUUUUUUUUUUUUUUAAAGACAGGGUCUCACUCUGUCAGCCGGGCUGGAGUGCAGUGGCACAAUCUCGGCUCACUGCAGCCUCGAUCUCCGGGGCUGAAAUGAUCCUCCCACCUCAGCCUCCCAAGUAGCUGGGACCAAAAACAUGUGCCACCACGCCUGAAUAAUUUUUGUAUUUUUUUGUUAAGACAGGGUUUCGGCAUGUUGUCCAGGCUGGUCUUGAACUCCAGAGCUGAAGUGAUCCACCCACCUUGGCUUCCCAAAGUGUUGGGAUUACAGGCAUGAGCCACUGCACUCGGCCUAAUUUUUUUUUUUUCUGAAGAGAUGAGGUCUUGCUAUGUUGCCCAGUCCAGUCUCAAACUUCUGGCUCAAGCAGUCCUCCCGCCUUGGCCUUCCAAAGUGCUGGGAUUACAGAUGUGAGCCACCACACUGGCCCAUUCUUUCUUUUAUACUGAGUAUUCAGAAUUUUUUUAAAAUGUGUUUUCCACUUACAGCAUUUCUCAGGUUGGACUAGCCAUCUUUCAAGUGCUCAGCAGCCACAUGUGGCAAGUGGCUGCCUUAUUGGACAGCACAGCUCUGGAGGGUGAUUUUAUGUACAUCCCCACUGCUCUCUCUGCCUCCUUUAUUCCCAUCUACCCCACACCCCUGCAGUCUGUGACUAUCGUGUCCCUCUCUCCUCUCUUUCUGUCUCUUGUAAUUCUUUAAUAUGGAGAAUUAUUUCCAAUUCCUUAACAUCCUGCGCUGAUUUUUUUCUGUCUUACAUUCAAGGGUCACAGUUUUCCUCUCACCCUCAUUUCAGUCUUUUCCCAUAACACGUGACGUGCCUUUUUGUCUUGGUUGGGUAUUUAUUUGCAAUACAAGAAUGAUUGUUUUCUUUGAUACAUUAGUGACUUACAUAGUUUUCAUGUUUUUUGAGUACCUCUUUCUUGACAGAAUUUCAAAUUAAUUCUAGCGUUAAACUAGAAAUCUUUUUUUUUUUUUUUGAGACACAGUCUUCCUAUGGCAACCAGUCUGGAGUGCAGUGGUGCAAUCUCAGCUCACUACAACCUCUGCCUUCCAGAUUCAAGUGAUUCUCCUGCCUCAGCCUCCCGAGUACCCGGGAUUACAGAUGUGCACCACCAUGCCUGGCUAAUUUUUGUCUUUUUAGUAGAGACAGUUUUUUGCCAUUUUGGCUAGGCUGGUCUUGAACUCCUGACCUCAAGUGAUCUGCCUGCCUCAGCUUCCCAAAGUGCUGGGAUUACAGGGGUGAGCCACUGUGCCCAACCUAGAAAGCUUAUUUUAUUUUAUUAUUAUAAUUAAUUUUAUUUUUUUGAGAUGGAGUCUCGCUCUGUUGCCCAGGCUGGAGUGCAGUGGCGCAAUCUCUGCUCACUGCAAGCUCCACCUCCCAGGUUCACGCCAUUCUCCUCCCUCAGCCUCCUGAGUAGCUGUGACUACAGGCGCCCGCCACCACACCUGGCUAAUUUUUUGUAUUUUUCAUGGAGACAGGGUUUCACCAUGUUAGCCAGGAUGGUCUCAAUUUCCUGACCUCGUGAUCCACCCGCCGUGGCCUCCCAAAGUGCUGGGAUUACAGGCGUGAGCCACCGCGCCUGGCCUAUAAUUAAUUUUUUUGAGAUGGAGUCUUACUCUGUCUCCCAGGCUGGAGUACAGUGGCACAUCUUGGACCCCUGCAACCUCUGCCUCCUGGGUUCAAGCAGUUCUCUCUACCUCAGCCUCUCCAGUAGCUGGGAUUACAGGUGCCCACCACCAUGCCCAGCUAAUUUUUGUAUUUUUAGUAGAGAUGGGGUUUCACCAUGUUGGCCAGGCUGGUCUCGAACCCCUGACCUCAGGUGAUACGCCCGCCUCGGCCUCCCAAAGUGUGAGAUUACAGGCAUCAGCCACUGCACCCGGCCAGAAAGCUUAUUUUAAAAGGUGUGUAUAGAGCCCCUUAUGUUUCUGCUUGAUUUUUUAAAUAACAUAUUUAUGUCUAUAUAUUUUAGGAUGUAAUAUCUCACUGUAUGUGUUGCUUUGCAUCAUUGAACAUUUUUGGUAAUUAUUUUCUAUAUAUUUUAGAUAUUUCAUUAAACUAAUACAGAAUUUCAUAUUCAGGGCCAGGCAUAGUGGCUCAUGCCUGUAAUCCCAGCACUUUGAGAGUCCAAGGCGGGCGCAUCACCUGAGGUCAGGGGUUCGAGACCAUCCUGGCCAACAAGGGAAAACCCCAUCUCUAUUAAAAAUACAAAAUUAGCCGGGUGUGGUGUUGCACGCCUGUAAUCCCAGCUACUUGGAAGGCUGAGGCAGGAGAAUCGCAUGACCCCGGGGGCAGAGAUUGCAGUGAGCUGAGAUCUUGCCACUUCAUUCCAGCCUGGGCCACAGAGCAAGACUCCUUCUCAAAAAAAAAAAAAAAAAAAAAAAAUUCAUAUUCGCUCAUAUCAAAAAUGAAAAUUUAUUUUUGCAAAUUUCUAAGUGAUAGAAUUAUUUUAAUGUAGGAAAGGUUCAUCAAAAAUGGGUGUAGUGAUUGUGUUCUUUCCUAUGCUCGAAUGGAAAAUGAUGAGGGGACACGAUGUUAGAGUUGCAGUGGGAAGGGGUGGAAAAGAGGGAUUCCAGAGUGCCAGGCACACAGGUUUUCUGGAAGGUUUACAUGAGGACUGCUGUGGUUUGAAUGUGUUCCCCAAAGUUCAUGUGUUGGAAACUCAACCCCUAAUGCAACAGUGUUGACCAGUGGAACCUUUAAGAGGUGAUUAGGUCAUGAAGGCUCUGCCCUCAUGAAUGGAUGAAGCUAGAGUGGGUUAGUUAUCUUGGGAGGGGGUUCCUGAUAAAAGGAUGAGGUUGGCUUCCUUCCCUUUCUCUUUCCCCCUCCCCCCUCUCACAUGUGGUCACUCUCUUGCCCUUCCACCUUCCACCAUAGGACGGCACAGUGAGACCUUCACCAGAUGCAGGCCCCUCACUUUCCCAGUGUUCAGAACCGUAAACCAAGUGAACUCUUGCUUAUAAAUCACCCAGUCUGUGGUAUUCUGUUAUAGCAACACAAACGGACUAAGAGAGGGACACUCAGUGGGCUCUUCUACUUGAUGGAGCACUCCCUGCGUGGUGCCUUGUAUUUGUAGACAUGAUGCUGUAAAUGCUCUUUGAAUGUCUUGAAGGCUUUUAUGUUUGAGGAGUUUACAGAGAAGCACCUACAGGCUUCAGGUCCCUUCUUCUGUUGCUUCUUUGCUCCUUAGUUCCUCCCCUAACCUGGUGCUAAAUUAGAUCAUAGUGUGGUCCUUGGACCAACAGUAUCAAUAGCACCUGAAAAUCAUGCUGGAAAUACAGAUUCACAGGCUGCUCCCUAGAAUACUGAAGAAGAAACUCUAGGAGUGAGACCCAACAAUCUGUAUUUAACAAGUCCCCAGGCCCCUGGAUCCUCCUGGAAUCCCCGAUCCCUCUUGCUCCCUGGCAGAGUUUUCUAGUCCCUCUUACUUGAAGCAUGUCUUUCAGAGCCCGGCACCACCCAUCUUGAGUAUCUGGUGAGUUCUGUGGUCUGCAUGUCCAUGUUUGGGACAUUCUGGGAAGGGUGGCCCAGGCUGUGAUUUGCCAUCUACUGCAGGCUAUGGAUGGUAUUCAGAAGGGAGGGGAGAUGCUGUGUGCGUGUUCUGAAGGGUUUCCCACUAAACAGAUCAACCCUCUCCAUAACUAUUUGAUUUUUACUUUAUCUCCUCGUUGACUUCACAGUGUCAGUGCAGUUUGUGUAAACAUCUCUAUGGGGUGAUGCAUGCAGAUAAAUGUUUAUGUGAACAUAUAAAGUCUGCAUGUGUGGGUGAACACUCCACAUCAGGUCAUUGUCCAUCAUUACAUAUCUGUGGUGUCUGGCUCAUUCGUCUCGUUUUCUGUCAUUUUACCUACUUUUACCUGAAGUACAAUGACUAUUUAAUAACUAUUAAAUGUUUCAUUUCAGCUACACCUCUAUGGUAUUUUUUUCACCUCAUAUCAUACCUUCCUCCCUCACUGGACUUCAGUGUGGGACCUGCAGGUCUCAGGCCUUCUGGGAAGUCCCAGCUUUUCUUGAAUGUUUUCUCUCUCUGGCCAGCUCAGGCUGGAGCAGUGGGUGUUGGUGCCAUCCUGUGGCUAUAGGUGAUAAGCCGGCUGUUCUUCACUGACCUGGUCUUACCUUGAACCCUGGAGUUCUCACAUGCAUGGAUUUAAAUGCUGUGUCUUUCUAAGGGCACAUUAUGGCCAUUUUCCUUAUCUCCCUCCCAAGGGGCUGUUUGCUGUGUUUAUUGACUCCCUGUUUAAAAAACAUAUAUAUAUAUAUAUAUAUAGACGAAUUAGGUUGUACCCCAUAAAUUGCAUGUUUGAAAAAUAUUUCAAAGAAUAGUUUAUUUUUUUUUGCUGAUUUUUAUGUAUCUUCUAAAUUGUAUAUAUUUAUGGGGUAUAAAAUGAUGUUGUGAUUUUUCAAUACAGUGUGGAAUGAGAAUCAAAUUAACCUAUCCGUUACCUCAAGUACUUGACUUUUUUUGUGAUGAGAAGGCUGUUUAUCACUUUCACUCACCAGCUCCUGCUGUCUUCCAUGCUGGGGACAGGAAAGGCUCCACGCUUGACUUUCCCUCCUGUUUUCUUAUCUGCUGUCAACCCCUGAAUGUACCCUCCAGGAUUGCCUUCUAGACCUUCUACAUCUAGCUCGAUCAUUGUGCACCCACCUUCCUCCCAGGGACUGUCCUUAGGGAGUGACUUUAUGCACAAACUUCACAUGCUCUUCCUGCCUCCUUCAUCCCCAUAAGCCCCCAUCUCAGCCCCAUCUGAUUAUUUCUUCCCUGUCUCAUUUCCUGUUAUGCUGUUGGUUUUCUAACCUGAAGGGUAACUUCUUACUCCUUAGUUUUUUGCCUUAAUUUCUAAGUCAUAGGCUACUUUCAGGCUAAAAGUUUUCCUCCAGCCAUGGUUUUAGUCUCAUUCUAUAAGUCUUGCUAGGUAGUUUAUUCAUUGGAAAUUUUUUGUUUUUGAGACAGAGUCUCGCUCUGUCACCCAGGCUGUAGUACAGUGGUGCCAUCUCAGCUCACUGCAACCUCCGGUUCCCGGGCUCAAGCAGUUCUCUUUCCUCAGCCUCCUGAGUAGCUGGGAUUAUGGGUGCCUGCCACCACACCCAGCUAAUUUUUGUAUUUUUAGUAGAGACGGCAUUUCACCAUGUCAGCCAGGUUGGUCUCGAACUCUUGACCUCAAGUGAUCCGCCCACCUUGGCCUCCCAAAAUACUGGGAUUACAGGGGUGAGUCACCACACCCCACCCCUUGGCACUAUAUUUAAGUGAUGAUAUUUUUGGACACUGAGGUAGCCUCAUUCCACAGGUUUAGAUCUGAAGCAUUUUCACUAUUGCUUCUUUCCAUGUAUUUCCUGGUUUGCAGGUCAGUUUCUUCUUUUAAUUCAUCAUUGACACAGUGGUUUAUAUGGCUUUUAAUUUCAAAAGAUUUUUUAAAAUAUCUUUUUGCCGAUUUUUAUCUAUGUUAAUUUUAACUAGACAUGUUCCCUGGAAGGACAUCACUAGUUUUUUUUUUUUUUUUUUCACUCUGUUUAUAAUUUAGGUGGAUUUUCACAUCUCAAGCCAGCUAAGAGUAUGGGAAAUAGGACUCGUUAAAGCACAGAUAUCACACAAGUGAUUCAGAUUCACGAGGGUAAUCCAGAUGAAGGUAUAUCAUUGUACCUGGCCCGCAUCACUCAGUAACUGUCACCUUUGAUUUAUUGAUUUACUUGAGAUGGAGUUUGGUUCUGUCCCCGAGGCCGGAGUGCAAUGGCGUGAUCUCUGCUCACUACAACCUCUGCCUCCCAGGUUCAGAGUGAUUCUCCUGCCUCAGCCUCUUUAGCUGGGAUUACAGGCACCCACCAACAUGCCCAGCUAAUUUUUGUAUUUUUAGUAGAGAGGAGCUUUCACCAUAAUGGCCAGGCUGGUCUUGAACCUCAAAUGAUCUGCCCACCUUGGCCUCCCAAAGUGCUAGGAUUACAGGCUGGAGCUACAGAGCCCAGCCUGUCACCUUGAUUUAAAUGAAUGCAGCUUUCUUGGUGUCUUGAUGUUUGUGAAUUUCUGUGGAGUUUGAUACUGCUCCUUUUGCUGCUUGUUUUUCCAGAGUCCCCUUAUCACUUGACGUGCUGUUAUAUUAUGUUUGAUUUAUUACAGAUACCCCAUCAGCCUGAGUCUCUUAAAGGCCUUUAUACACAUAUGUCUACACAUAGGGAUUUGGAUGAUCUCGGGAUCCCACAUCCUCGCUGUCCCCUGUCCCCCCGCAACAUCCCCCACCAAUACCUUUCUGAAGUUUUCUAGUCCCUCCUUUUUGUUUGUGCUCCUUAAAGCCCAGCCCCAUGCCUGACUUUGGUUCCCAGUGAGCAUUGUACAUUUGUGGAUAUUAAAUCUUUGGCAAAGUCAUUUACCUGGGCUGGAAUAGGGCUCUUGGCUGAUUCUUUUUCCUAAACACCCACCCAAUGGGAGAGGCUGAUACUCAACAUGCAAACCUUGUGUUUUAUUUCUCCAGGCGAAGGGAUGUUGGAAGACAUUCUGGAAGGGGUGGGGUGUGAAGAUUUACAAAUAAUCUUUGAAUAUCUGCUUCAUGAUAGGUCUUGGAGGUGCCUUGUGGGUGUGGCUUUGGGGGGAUGGUUACGAGGAAAUUGUGGAUAUUAAGGAAGUCAGGAAAGGAAAAGAUCAGUCACAAUUCAACAAUUCAGAGAAAGCUCCUAAGGGACUUUCUGGCUGCUUGAUGCCCAGAGGCCAGGCCCUCACUUCGUAUUAAGGCUCAGGACUGUGGAUAGAGAAUUUAAAGGGGCACCAAAAAAAACAUUAAAAUAGAUAAACAUAUUUUUAAUGGAAUACCUUUAAAAAUGCAAAUCAAUGCACAAAGAAAACGCCCAUGUUGAACAAAAUGGUGACAAUUGUGCCUUCUCUUCAACACCACCCCACCCUCCAGAAGUUUCCUUCAAGCCGUACCUGUAAGAGUAAAAAUAGAGAAAAAUAAAAACCUUUAAGUUAAAAGAUAAAAAUGAGCUGGGUGUGGGGGCUCAUGCCUGUAAUCCCAGCACUUUGGGAGGCCGAGGCAGGUGGAUCACUUGAGGUCAGGAGUUCGAGACCAGGCUGGGCAAUGUGGUGAAACAUCGUCUCUACUAAAAAUACAAAAAAACAAAAAAAAUUUAGGUGGGCACAGUGGCAGGUGCCUAUAAUCUCAGCUACUUGGGAGGCUGAGGCAGGAGAAUCGCUUGAACCUGGGAGGCGGAGGUUGCAAUGAGCCAAGAGCAUGCCAUUGCACUACAUCCUGGGAGACAGAUCAAGACUCUGUCUCAAAAAAAACAAAACAAACAAACACCUCGGGAAUUUCUGGCUCAAGCCUCUGAUCCUCACCACCACUAUCACCAGGGGAUCUUUUGCUGUUCACCCAAGUCCAGCCUUCAUCCCCUAAACUCCUGGGGAAAUGCGACCAGACUCUCCCCAUCUCCAUUCCGGGAGUUUGCCUCAAGCCAAUCUUGUUCUCCCUGAAAACGGCCUUGGGGUUCCCCAUCCUGGUACACCCUCCUACUCUAGGGGACACAGGGCCGAUGUUGCCCCCCAAACCGGCAGUCCCAGGAGCGCAUCGCUUCUCCCUGAACUGCUUCUGCCCCAACCUGGCAUCUGCUUGGGGAAGGGCACCCCAGGGUGGAGACUUGCAUGGUGAGCUCAGCUCACCUUCAGGUGAAGGUCAGCGCACACUGGCCACCCGGGACCACAUUUUCCAGAAUCCUUUGGCGGUCCCGCGAUGCUCUCGUGGUCAGCAGCUCUCAUUGGGUUGCAGAGGAGAAACUUGUCCGUGUCACUGGGGCAUCUUAACAGUCGGCUCCUAAGCUUGGUUGUGUGCGCUGUGCAGAUGUGAGAGGCACACCGUGUGGGCGAAGCCAACUGCUUGCCCGCCUCUCUAGCUCCAAAACUACAAUCCCCAGAGGCCUCUGCGGUCACUUCCACUACCCACCCUACACACCUUCUGUGUGUCGCGUUAAUGUCAGAAGCACUUCUGUUUGGUGGCCCCGGCGGGUUAGGCUGGUUGGCACCCAGGGAAGCACCCAGGUCUUCCCCACACCUCUGCACCUCAUUACCUGACCGGCUUCUGGAUCCGCAGCGUGCAUCUGCAGUCUGUGAGUCCCCUAUAGGCACUCAGUAUGCCCCUCUGCGUGUCCCUCUGUUACUCAUGGGGACGCAGUCUGGGAGCCGUAGACCUGUCUCAGAACUAGGGCGCCCUCCUGUGGGCACCUCCAGGCCAUUUUCCUUUCACUGGAGCCCACCGGGUUAGAGACAGACCCUCACUCUGUUGCUUGGGGACAAAGGCUUCACUCCCUGGCCCGAGCUUGGGGCUGAGCUAGAGGGUUCGGGGUCAUCCUGGGCCCCUCUGGAUGGGAAUUGGCUGCCCUGUUAAUUUCUGUGACAUCCCCGACCCUAACAGUGGGUCUCUGGAGCAGACUGCGCUUCACCCCAUGGGAAGGGGGUUUCCACCUGAGAGUCAAAAAAGAGGUGAGAAUUCUCUGUAAUUCCAUCUUGACUGUCAACAGGAUGGAUUCUGUUACCAUUUCUUGCCCUGGAGGCUGCCUUGUUGGUACUGGGGAAAGUUCAUUCCUAGUCCUGGAAAAGUGGCUCAUUCCAACUGGAGUCCUCCCUCAGCAUUCCUUUCUGCUGCAUCCAUACUGCAGUCAUUCAUGUUGUUAAUUGUAAACAAACACACAUGGAACAGUUUAAAUAAAACUACACAGAUGUGUGUGCUUAAUUGUUCAGUGAUGUGGAUAAAGGGCAGGGACAGCAGAGAUGCCUGUGAUUUCAAGGGCUUGGGGAGGACUCGUACAAGUAGAGCUGUCUCAGCUGCCCCUGACCGGUUUGGUACCUUGGAGACUCGGGGGAAGGCAUUGCACUCGGAGGCAGAAGGAAACAUAGUCUGAGGCUGGGCUCUUGCUACAGG
rnacentral:lncRNA from 1 species